ensembl:ncRNA C50E10.13 ncRNA
CUCAGGCUUAGGCUUAGGCUUAGGUGUAGGCUUAGGCUUAGGCGUAGGCUUAGG